GAGGAAUAUUGGGCAAUGCCCGAAAGGGUGACCCAGCAACGCCGCGUGGAGGAUGAAGGCCGUAAGGUUGUAAACUCCUGUUAGAGGGGAAGAAAAAUCUCGAUCAAAUCGAGAACUGACUGUACCCUCAGAGAAAGCCCCGGCUAACUACGUGCCAGCAGCCGCGGUAAUACGUAGGGGGCAAGCGUUGUCCGGAUUUACUGGGUGUAAAGGGCGCGCAGGCGGAUUGACAAGUCAGAGGUGAAAUCCUACAGCUUAACUGUAGAACUGCCUUUGAGACUGUCAAUCUUGAGUACGGAAGAGAGAGAUGGAAUUCCAGGUGUAGUGGUGAAAUACGUAGAUAUCUGGAAGAACACCAGUGGCGAAGGCGGUCUCUUGGUCCAUUACUGACGCUAAGGCGCGAAAGCGUGGGGAGCAAAC
rnacentral:rRNA from 1 species